rnacentral:snRNA from 1 species
GGAGGUGUGUGUUCUGUCGUGAGAUAGGCACGAACUGGACAUUGAUCGCUUUUACCGUGUUAGUAAAUUCAAGCAGAUCUGCUCAGUGGCAGUGGCUUAUCACACUCAAUAGGUAGAUUAUCUGCUUUAUCGUUUGUACACUCCCGUUUGCACGACGAUUGCUUGAUGCGAUUGUCGGACGCACGGUUGAGCGUUCAACGAUAACAGAUUCUAUCAACUUUCAAAAUUUGUUGGUUAAGUAAAUUCUUAGCUCCGUAAUUUAGUUAACUUGUUCAGAACACUUCCAUGCAUGGGUAUUGCCGAGCAAUUUGCCCUAUUUUUUUU